rnacentral:rRNA from 1 species
UAGGGAAUCUUCCACAAUGGACGAAAGUCUGAUGGAGCAACGCCGCGUGAGUGAAGAAGGGUUUCGGCUCGUAGAACUCUGUUGUCAAAGAAGAACAUAUCUGAGAGUAACUGUUCAGGUAUUGACGGUAUUUAACCAGAAAGCCACGGCUAACUACGUGCCAA